rnacentral:rRNA from 1 species
UUUAUGGAGAGUUUGAUCCUGGCUCAGGAUGAACGCUGGCGGCGUGCCUAAUACAUGCAAGUCGAGCGAACAGAUGAGGAGCUUGCUCCUUUGACGUUAGCGGCGGACGGGUGAGUAACACGUGGGUAACCUACCUAUAAGACUGGAAUAACUCCGGGAAACCGGGGCUAAUGCCGGAUAACAUGUUGAACCGCAUGGUUCAACAGUGAAAGACGGUCUUGCUGUCACUUAUAGAUGGACCCGCGCCGUAUUAGCUAGUUGGUAAGGUAACGGCUUACCAAGGCGACGAUACGUAGCCGACCUGAGAGGGUGAUCGGCCACACUGGAACUGAGACACGGUCCAGACUCCUACGGGAGGCAGCAGUAGGGAAUCUUCCGCAAUGGGCGAAAGCCUGACGGAGCAACGCCGCGUGAGUGAUGAAGGUCUUCGGAUCGUAAAGCUCUGUUGUUAGGGAAGAACAUAUGUGUAAGUAACUGUGCACAUCUUGACGGUACCUAACCAGAAAGCCACGGCUAACUACGUGCCAGCAGCCGCGGUAAUACGUAGGUGGCAAGCGUUAUCCGGAAUUAUUGGGCGUAAAGCGCGCGUAGGCGGUUUUUUAAGUCUGAUGUGAAAGCCCACGGCUCAACCGUGGAGGGUCAUUGGAAACUGGAAAACUUGAGUGCAGAAGAGGAAAGUGGAAUUCCAUGU